CUUGGGGUUAGAGAGGUAGAACCUCAGUGGUAGUUAGGUGGCAUUGCCAGAAUCUCCUGGAGUAGAUACAAGCCCAGAUGCAUCAGAGAAGGAGUCGGCUUUGAAAGUCUAGCACUGAGUCCUUGGGAGCUGACACUGAAUGAGAGCUGCUGUUUGAGGAACCGCGUGAAGAGAAACAUCUCUAACCAAAUGAAAGCCUUUCUCCCGUUUGCUCAUUGCGAUUUCUCAGGCUCCCCCUUCCUUCAGGCUCGUUCUAGGAAGCUCCACAUACUUAUCUGAAGGCUGGUCUGAUGUCAUAUUGGGUAACCUGUGAACCCUGAAGAGGGGCCCUUGGACCUGCCACAAGAUUGUGAAAAUGAUACUCAUUAAACCCCGCUGCCAUUGAGAGUCCUUGGGAAUUGGAGUGUCCAUGAGGCUGCAGAGUACAAUGGGUUUGGGUGACUAGAGUCAAUGCUGCCCCAGGCUGUAUUCAUUUUAAGACGCCAUCCUUAAAUUCUUCAGAGAAGAACCUCUCUCCUCAUGUUGA